GUCGCGUCCAGCGGAAAGAAAGAAUCCGGUCAUCCAACCGACGGCCUCCAUCCAAUUCGUCACGUGAAGAUGAGAUGAUCACCUCCUCACCUCGAUCGGCCGGCCUUCCAGCCACCUUCCAGUCCAUGCUGCUGUUAUAAUUAUAAAUACGUCACACACUGAAGCUCCUGGUUCUUCCAUCAGAAUCGGAUCCCUCUCUUCUUCUUGCUCUAGCACUCUUCACUAAGUCUCCACGGUAGAUGGAGGGCGUCGAGGAGAUCGUCAUCGCCGGCGCCGGGCUCGCCGGCCUCGCCACGGCCCUGGGGCUGCACAGGAAAGGGGUGAGGUGCGUGGUGCUGGAGUCGUCGGCGACGCUGCGGGCGUCGGGGUACGCCUUCACCACAUGGACCAACGCCUUCCGCGCGCUGGAUGCGCUCGGUGUCGGGGACAAGAUCAGGGAGCACCAUCUCCUCUACGAGAGGCUGGUGGCCUUCUCUGCGUCCACGGGCGAGGCUGCCGCAAAAGUGAGCCUAAAGAUGCAGGGUAAAAGCGGGCCUCACGAGAUCCGGUGCGUGAAGCGCAACUUCCUGCUAGAGACGCUGGAGAACGAGCUGCCGGAGGGCACCAUCAGGUACUCCUCCAAGAUGGUCGCCAUUGAGAUCGAGGAAGAGGGCAACGUGAAGCUCCUGCACAUGGCCGACGGCUCCACCAUCAGAGCCAACGUUCUUGUGGGGUGUGACGGAGUGAACUCGGUGGUGGCGAGGUGGCUGGGCCUGCCCAAGCCCAUCCUCUCGGGGCGGUCCGCCACCAGGGGCCUCGCCGAGUACCCGGACGGCCACGGCUUCGGGCCGGAGAUGCUGCAGUUCAUCGGCCAGGGCUUCCGCUCCGGCGUGCUCCCCUGCUCCGACACCUCCGUGUACUGGAACUUCACCUGGUACCCGUCCCCGGCGGACGGGGACGCGGAGGAGAGUGUGGCCAAGAUGCGGCGGCACGUGCUGGCCAGGCUGACGGCCGCCAAGAUCCCGGCGGAGGCGCUGGACGUGGUGGAGCGGAGCGAGAUGAGCGAGGUGGUGUCGUCGCCGCUGCGGUUCCGGUCGCCGCUGGCGCUGGUCCGGGGUAGCAUCUGCAGGGGCGGCGUGUGCGUGGCCGGCGACGCGUUCCACCCGAUGACCCCGGAGCUCGGCCAGGGCGGCUGCGCGGCGCUGGAGGACGGCGUCGUCCUCGCCCGGUGCCUCGGGGAGGCCUUCGCCGUCGGCGGGCACGGGAGCGCCGAGGCGGCCCUGGAGAAGUACGCCCAGGAGCGGAGGUGGCGCGCCGUCCGGCUGGUCACUGCCGCGUACGUUGUCGGCUUCGUGCAGCAGAGCAGCAACCCGGCGAUCAAGUUCCUCAGGGAGAAGUUCCUGUCGGGGUUGCUGGCCAGAGUGAUGGUCGACAUGGCCGACUACGACUGCGGGAAGCUCUAGUAGUUCUGCCAUUCCUUCCUUCACGACGGCAGAACAAGAACGACGAGAGAAAACGAAUCAGUUAAAACGGCAUCAAUCAAAUUUGAUACCUGAUAGGAUUAUUAGUCUACAAUAUGUAGAUGAUACCCUCUAUUUCAUGGAAAACAGUCAAAAAAUGGCAAUAAAAUGGAGGAAGCACGUAUAACUUAAGGCAUGUACAAUGGUUGAUAAGAUAGUCUUAUCUUAGGUCUUGCAUGUAAUUAAGAGAUGACAAAAAUAAGAUGUCUAUAAUGGAUCAUUUUUUAGCCUUAGGGCAUGU